UACAGAGGUCUCAAGCGUUGUCCGGAUUCAUUGGGCGUAAAGCGCUUUCAGGCGGUUCGCUAAGUCGGGUGUGAAACCUCCAGGCUCAACCUGGAGACGCCACUCGAUACUGGCGUGACUAGAGUUCGGUAGGGGAUCACGGAAUUCCUGGUGUAGCGGUGAAAUGCGCAGAUAUCGGGAAGAACACCCGUGGCGAAGGCGGCUCUCUGGAACGCAACUGACGCUGAGACGCGAAAGCGUGGGGAGCAAACAGG
rnacentral:rRNA from 1 species